GACGAACCCUGGCCCCGUGCCUAUUACAUGCCAGUAUAACGCUGAAUGCGGACCUUGCUCUUCUGGAUGAGUCGCGAACGCGUGAGUAACGCGUAGGUAACCUGCCUGGUACCCGGGCAUAACUAUUGGACACUAUAGCUAAUCCCGCAUAAUAUUGACUAUUGCCCGAUACUCAAUUGAAAGGUGCACAUGCCCCCCUCCCCGACGGACCCGCGUUGUACUACCUAGUUGGCGGGGUAACCGCCUCCCUACGUGACGAUACAUAACCGACCUGAGAGGGUGAUCGGCCACACUGGGACUGACACACCGCCCAGACUCCUACCGGAGGCCGCACUCCGGAAUCUUCCGCGACGGACGGAAGUCUGACCGAACAACGCCGAGUGAGUGAAGAAGGUUUUUCGGAUUGGAAAAGCUUUGUGUUAGAGAAAGACGAAGUUUGAGAGUGAAAAGUUCCACACUGUGGCGGUAUCUUACCAGAAAGGGGACGGCUAACUACGUGCCAGCAGCCGCGUAAAUACGUAGUUCCCGAGCGUGUCCCGAUUUUAUUGGGCGUAAAAGCGAGCGCAGGCGGUAGAUAAAGUCUGAAGUAAAAGGCUGUGGCUUAACCAUAGUACGCUUUGGAAACUGUUUAACUUGAGUGCAGAAGGGGAGAGUGGAAUUCCAUGUGUAGCGGUGAAAUGCGUAGAUAUAUGGAGGAACACCGGUGGCGAAAGCGGCUCUCUGGUCUGUAACUGACGCUGAGGCUCGAAAGCGUGGGGAGCAAACAGGAUUAGAUACCCUGGUAGUCCACGCCGUAAACGAUGAGUGCUAGGUGUUGGGUCCUUUCCGGGACUCAGUGCCGCAGCUAACGCAUUAAGCACUCCGCCUGGGGAGUACGACCGCAAGGUUGAAACUCAAAGGAAUUGACGGGGGCCCGCACAAGCGGUGGAGCAUGUGGUUUAAUUCGAAGCAACGCGAAGAACCUUACCAGGUCUUGACAUCCCGGUGCCCGUCCUAGAGAUAGGAUUUUGCUUCGGCACACCGGUGACAGGUGGUGCAUGGUUGUCGUCAGCUCGUGUCGUGAGAUGUUGGGUUAAGUCCCGCAACGAGCGCAACCCUUAUUGUUAGUUGCCAUCAUUUAGUUGGGCACUCUAGCGAGACUGCCGGUAAUAAACCGGAGGAAGGUGGGGAUGACGUCAAAUCAUCAUGCCCCUUAUGACCUGGGCUACACACGUGCUACAAUGGCUGGUACAACGAGUCGCAAGUCGGUGACGGCAAGCUAAUCUCUUAAAGCCAGUCUCAGUUCGGAUUGUAGGCUGCAACUCGCCUACAUGAAGUCGGAAUCGCUAGUAAUCGCGUAUCAGCACGCCGCGGUGAAUACGUUCCCGGGCCU
rnacentral:rRNA from 1 species